rnacentral:rRNA from 1 species
CCUACGGGUUGCAGCAGUAGGGAAUCUUCGGCAAUGGACGAAAGUCUGACCGAGCAACGCCGCGUGAGUGAAGAAGGUUUUCGGAUCGUAAAACUCUGUUGUUAGAGAAGAACAAGUAGGAGAGUAACUGCUCAUACCUUGACGGUAUCUAACCAGAAAGCCACGGCCAACUACGUACCAGCAGCCGCGGUAAUACGUAGGUGGCAAGCGUUGUCCGGAUUUAUUGGGCGUAAAGCGAGCGCAGGCGGUCUUUUAAGUCUGAUGUGAAAGCCCUCGGCUCAGCCGAGGAAGGUCAUUGGAAACUGGAGGACUUGAGUGCAGAAGAGGAGAGUGGAAUUCCAUGUGUAGCGGUGAAAUGCGUAGGUAUAUGGAGGAACACCAGUGGCGAAGGCGACUCUCUGGUCUGUAACUGACGCUGAGGCUCGAAGGCGUGGGGAGCAAACAGGAUUAGAUACCCCGGUAGUC